rnacentral:rRNA from 1 species
UGAGGAAUAUUGGUCAAUGGGCGGGAGCCUGAACCAGCCAAGUCGCGUGAGGGAAGACGGCCCUACGGGUUGUAAACCUCUUUUGCCGGGGAGCAACGCUGCGGACGCGUCCGCAGGUGAGAGUACCCGGAGAAAAAGCAUCGGCUAACUCCGUGCCAGCAGCCGCGGUAAUACGGAGGAUGCGAGCGUUAUCCGGAUUUAUUGGGUUUAAAGGGUGCGUAGGCCGGCUGUCAAGUCAGCGGUAAAAAUUCGGGGCUCAACCCCGUAAAGCCGUUGAAACUGGCGGUCUUGAGUAGCGGCGAGGCAUGCGGAAUGCGAGGUGUAGCGGUGAAAUGCAUAGAUAUCACGCAGAACUCCGAUUGCGAAGGCAGCAUGCCAGCCGCCGACUGACGCUGAGGCACGAAAGUGCGGGUAUCGAACAGG